GAGUUUGAUCCUGGCUCAGAACGAACGCUGGCGGCAGGCCUCAAACAUGCAAGUCUAGGGGGUGUAGCAAUACAUCACCGGCGGACGGGUGCGUAACACGUGGGAAUAUACCUUUCGGUACGGAAUAACUGCGGGAAACUGCAACUAAUACCGUAUACGUCCUAGCGGAGAAAGAUUUAUCGCCGAAAGAUUAGCUCGCGUUCGAUUAGCUUGUUGGUGAGGUAAUGGCUCACCAAGGCGACGAUCGAUAGCUGUUCUGAGAGGAAGAUCAGCCACACUGGGACUGAGACACGGCCCAGACUCCUACGGGAGGCAGCAGUUGGGAAUCUUGGACAAUGGGGGAAACCCUGAUCCAGCCAUGCCGCGUGAGUGAUGAAGGCCUUCGGGUUGUAAAACUCUUUCGACGGGGACGAUAAUGACGGUACCCGUAGAAGAAGCUCCGGCUAACUUCGUGCCAGCAGCCGCCGCAGUAAC
rnacentral:rRNA from 1 species